rnacentral:rRNA from 1 species
CCUACGGGAGGCAGCAGUGGGGAAUUUUGGACAAUGGGCGCAAGCCUGAUCCAGCAAUGCCGCGUGAGUGAAGAAGGCCUUCGGGUUGUAAAGCUCUUUUGUCAGGGAAGAAACGGCUGAGGCUAAUAUCCUCGGCUAAUGACGGUACCUGAAGAAUAAGCACCGGCUAACUACGUGCCAGCAGCCGCGGUAAUACAUAGGGUGCAAGCGUUAAUCGGAAUUACUGGGCGUAAAGCGUGCGCAGGCGGUUUUGUAAGUCUGUCGUGAAAGCCCCGGGCUUAACCUGGGAAUUGCGAUGGAGACUGCAAGGCUUGAAUCUGGCAGAGGGGGGUAGAAUUCCACGUGUAGCAGUGAAAUGCGUAGAGAUGUGGAGGAACACCGAUGGCGAAGGCAGCCCCCUGGGUCAAGAUUGACGCUCAUGCACGAAAGCGUGGGGAGCAAACAGGAUUAGAUACCCUGGUAGUCCACGCCCUAAACGAUGUCUACUAGUUGUCGGGUCUUAAUUGACUUGGUAACGCAGCUAACGCGUGAAGUAGACCGCCUGGGGAGUACGGUCGCAAGAUUAAAACGUCAAAGGAAUUGACGG